rnacentral:rRNA from 1 species
CCGUAGCGAACAGCUCAGUAACACGUGGCCAAGCUACCCUAUGGACGUGGACACCCUCGGGAAACUGAGGCUAAUCCGCGAUACGGCUCCCACGCUUGAAUGCGGGGAGCCGGAAACGCUCCGGCGCCAUAGGAUGCGGCUGCGGCCGAUUAGGUAGACGGUGGGGUAACGGCCCACCGUGCCGAUAAUCGGUACGGGAUGUGAGAGCAAAUAGCCCGGAGAUGGAAUCUGAGACAAGAUUCCAGGCCCUACGGGGCGCAGCAGGCGCGAAACCUUUACACUGCACGCCAGUGCGAUAAGGGGACCCCGAGUGCGAGGGCAUACAGUCCUCGCUUUUGUACACCGUAAGGAGGUGUACGAAUAAGGGCUGGGCAAGACCGGUGCCAGCCGCCGCGGUAAUACCGGCAGCCCGAGUGAUGGCCGCUGUUAUUGGGCCUAAAGCGUCCGUAGCCGGCCGAACAAGUCUGUCGGGAAAUCCAUCCGCCUAACGGAUGGGCGUCCGGCAGAAACUGUUCGGCUUGGGGCCGGAAGAUCCGAGGGGUACGUCCGGGGUAGGAGUGAAAUCCUGUAAUCCUGGACGGACCGCCGGUGGCGAAAGCGCCUCG